rnacentral:rRNA from 1 species
UACGUAGGGGGCAAGCGUUGUCCGGAAUCAUUGGGCGUAAAGAGCGUGUAGGCGGCUCGAUAAGUCUGCUGUGAAAGUCCAGGGCUCAACCCUGGAAGGCCGGUGGAAACUGUCGGGCUAGAGUCCGGAAGAGGCGAGUGGAAUUCUCGGUGUAGCGGUGAAAUGCGCAGAUAUCGGGAGGAACACCAAUGGCGAAGGCAGCUCGCUGGGACGGUACUGACGCUGAGACGCGAAAGCGUGGGGAGCAAACGGGG